ACAAGGCAUCCAGAGUGAGCGGAAGCUCCGCCAACCUGCCCAAGCGGUAAGGUGGCUGCCCGCGUAAGCGGGGAUGCGGUCGAUUCUCGACAAUCCGAGGGAUCUCCAC
rnacentral:ncRNA from 1 species